UGAACUCAUGACCUUGUGCUUGCCAGAAUUUAAACAUGUUCAGGAGACAGAAAUAUUGGACUAAGCACUUAGGGGAAAAGAAGAGCAAGAUCUCUGGAGUUAAUAGUCAUCAAAGGGUUGCAUAAUUGAAAUCACAGAUUAGAAGACCAACGUAGGACAAAAUGAUGGGAUGUCUGCAUUCUGGAGAAAGAGAUCAAGGAGACCAGUGAAACAGCCUUGUGUAAGAAAACGUGAAGAGGUGUCAUCCAAAGCCACAUGUGGUCAUAGGUGAUUCUUCUGAAAGGUGAUUGGAUUUUGGGGGCGCUGUUGCUGUGAGUGCUGUUGGAAGGCAUGGCCUGGUUGGAAGAGUUGGGUCACUGCAGGUGUGACCUGCCAUCUCAGCUUCCUGGCCCCAGAGACAUGAGAAGUCUUUCCUUUGCUAUUCCCUUCUGCUGAAGUGUCCUGCCUUGGAGCCAGCUGAUCAUGGAGUGACACUGUGGGCCAAAAUAAACCUUUCUUCCUUUAA